rnacentral:rRNA from 1 species
CGGACGGGUGAGUAACACGUGGGUAACCUACCCAUCAGAGGGGGAUAACACUUGGAAACAGGUGCUAAUACCGCAUAACGUCGCAAGACCAAAGAGGGGGACCUUCGGGCCUCUUGCCAUCGGAUGUGCCCAGAUGGGAUUAGCUAGUAGGUGGGGUAACGGCUCACCUAGGCGACGAUCCCUAGCUGGUCUGAGAGGAUGACCAGCCACACUGGAACUGAGACACGGUCCAG